rnacentral:rRNA from 1 species
GAUUGGUGCUUGCAUCAUGAUUUACAUUUGAGUGAGUGGCGAACUGGUGAGUAACACGUGGGAAACCUGCCCAGAAGCGGGGGAUAACACCUGGAAACAGAUGCUAAUACCGCAUAACAACUUGGACCGCAUGGUCCGAGUUUGAAAGAUGGCUUCGGCUAUCACUUUUGGAUGGUCCCGCGGCGUAUUAGCUAGAUGGUGGGGUAACGGCUCACCAUGGCAAUGAUACGUAGCCGACCUGAGAGGGUAAUCGGCCACAUUGGGACUGAGACACGGCCCAAACUCCUACGGGAGGCAGCAGUAGGGAAUCUUCCACAAUGGACGAAAGUCUGAUGGAGCAACGCCGCGUGAGUGAAGAAGGGUUUCGGCUCGUAAAACUCUGUUGUUAAAGAAGAACAUAUCUGAGAGUAACUGUUCAGGUAUUGACGGUAUUUAACCAGAAAGCCACGGCUAACUACGUGCCAGCAGCCGCGGUAAUACGUAGGUGGCAAGCGUUGUCCGGAUUUAUUGGGCGUAAAGCGAGCGCAGGCGGUUUUUUAAGUCUGAUGUGAAAGCCUUCGGCUCAACCGAAGAAGUGCAUCGGAAACUGGGAAACUUGAGUGCAGAAGAGGACAGUGGAACUCCAUGUGUAGCGGUGAAAUGCGUAGAUAUAUGGAAGAACACC